rnacentral:rRNA from 1 species
GAUGAACGCUAGCGGCAGGCUUAACACAUGCAAGUCGAGGGGUAUAGUUCUUCGGAACUAGAGACCGGCGCACGGGUGCGUAACGCGUAUGCAAUCUACCUUUUGCAGAGGGAUAGCCCAGAGAAAUUUGGAUUAAUACCUCAUAGUAUGUGAGAAUGGCAUCAUUUUCACAUUAAAGUCACAACGGCAAAAGAUGAGCAUGCGUCCCAUUAGCUAGUUGGUAAGGUAACGGCUUACCAAGGCAACGAUGGGUAGGGGUCCUGAGAGGGAGAUCCCCCACACUGGUACUGAGACACGGACCAGACUCCUACGGGAGGCAGCAGUGAGGAAUAUUGGACAAUGGGCGCAAGCCUGAUCCAGCCAUGCCGCGUGCAGGAUGACGGUCCUAUGGAUUGUAAACUGCUUUUGUACAGGAAGAAACACUGGUUCGUGAACCAGCUUGACGGUACUGUAAGAAUAAGGAUCGGCUAACUCCGUGCCAGCAGCCGCGGUAAUACGGAGGAUCCAAGCGUUAUCCGGAAUCAUUGGGUUUAAAGGGUCCGUAGGCGGUUUAGUAAGUCAGUGGUGAAAGCCCAUCGCUCAACGGUGGAACGGCCAUUGAUACUGCUAGACUUGAAUUAUUAGGAAGUAACUAGAAUAUGUAGUGUAGCGGUGAAAUGCUUAGAGAUUACAUGGAAUACCAAUUGCGAAGGCAGGUUACUACUAAUGGAUUGACGCUGAUGGACGAAAGCGUGGGUAGCGAACAGGAUUAGAUACCCUGGUAGUCCAC